CACCCUGUCGGAACAAGCCGCAUCUGCUUUCAGCCAACAAAGAUCCACAAUCAAGAUCUAAACAUCAAUUCCACUAAAAUCCACUAAAAAAAUCCAAUUUCAGCACUUAAGCUUGGAUUCCUUCCCACUCCAAUGUCAAAACUCACCUAACGAUCUCCAAAUCAGGUGAGGACAGUUCCAAAUCAAGCAAAUACUGAUGGGUGAUGUGUCUCAGGUCCAAAAUCCCACUGCCUACAAAGAUAGCAUCAAGAAAAGCUCAAAAAUCUCAUUUUCAGCUCAAUGUCAACAGCAGUUCAGAAAAAUCUCAGUUUGACCAAGGUAACCUCAACCAAAAUCUAC
rnacentral:lncRNA from 1 species